rnacentral:tRNA from 1 species
UGUCUUGUAGUUCAGCUGGUAGAAUGACGGACUAGUAACUCUGAAACCACUUGUUCGAGUCUUGUUAAGACUA